rnacentral:lncRNA from 1 species
GGCGGAGUCUGGGCGCGCUGGCAGGAGGCCAGGAUCCCCGCUGCUCCAGGCCCGGGCCUGCCCGGCAGCGCCUUCUGCUGGCCGGAGCCGCCGCUGCGGGCGCCCUGCCUGAAGCCGAGCCAUGAGCCUGGGGCUGGGGGUCCAGCCUUCCUUGGGUCUGCAGUUCUUUGGGGACAGGCAUACAUGCUUGGAUUGAACCACCCACGAUGAGAGGCUCACCCUUGCACUGAGAGGAGGGCCUAUCCUACAGGAAAAGGGGGCCGAUCUCUCGAAAAUGUCAACGAGAGGGCUGAGGCUGGACUUAAGGGGGCGAGGCAGGAAGAGGGGAGCCAAGAUUUGGAAGUUAUGGUGGAGUUUGAGAGAGUGCGGGCAUGCUGGAGAAUCAUCAGUAUAUUUGUAUGCUGUCUUUGGCGAGGAGGGCCCCUGUGGAAUCGUGAUCUCUAUCCCCGAUACAUAGUCUGCCUCACUGGUCUACCUUGUUCUCCUGCACCCUGGUUGUCAGCACCCUGGUGUACAAAUACAUCUUCCUUGGUGUCAUUCCUGUUGAUGAAACUAUAUCCGUUCCUUACACCGAACCAUUUUACUGUUCCCAAAACCUUCGUUGCGAUGACCUUCUUGUCCCCGCCGGCAGGUGCCACCGAUGUGAGGCUGCCUGGGCCACCACU